rnacentral:tRNA from 1 species
AAUAAAAUGCCUGAACUUAAAGGAUUAUCUUGAUAGGAUAAAUUAUGUGUUUUAUAACACUUUUAUUA